CCUACGGGAGGCAGCAGUGGGGAAUAUUGCGCAAUGGGCGAAAGCCUGACGCAGCGACGCCGCGUGAGGGAUGAAGGUCUUCGGAUCGUAAACCUCUGUCAGCAGGGAAGAACGGUCACUGUGCUAAUCAGCAGUGAAUUGACGGUACCUGCAAAGGAAGCACCGGCUAACUCCGUGCCAGCAGCCGCGGUAAUACGGAGGGUGCGAGCGUUAAUGGGAAUUACUGGGCGUAAAGCGCUCGUAGGCGGUAUGUCAAGUCAAGGGUGAAAUCCCCGCGCUCAACGUGGGAACUGCCUUUGAAACUGGCAAACUGGAGUGUGUGAGAGGAUAGUGGAAUUCCAGGUGUAGGAGUGAAAUGCGUAGAUAUCUGGAGGAACAUCAGUGGCGAAGGCGACUAUCUGGCACAUAACUGACGCUGAGGAGCGAAAGCGUGGGUAGCAAACAGGAUUAGAUACCCUAGUAGUC
rnacentral:rRNA from 1 species